rnacentral:rRNA from 1 species
GGAAACUGAGAAUAAUACCCGAUAGAACAUUAUGCCUGGAACGGUUAAUGUUUCAAAUAAUUUAUUGCCGUAGGAUGGGACUGCGGCCUAUCAGUUUGUUGGUGAGGUAAUGGCCCACCAAGACUAUUACAGGUACGGGCUCUGAGAGGAGUAGCCCGGAGAUGGGUACUGAGACACGGACCCAGGCCCUAUGGGGCGCAGCAGGCGAGAAAACUUUGCAA